rnacentral:rRNA from 1 species
AGAGUUUGAUCCUGGCUCAGGACGAACGCUGGCGGCGUGCUUAACACAUGCAAGUCGAACGGGUGCAGCAAUGCAUCAGUGGCGGACGGGUGAGUAACACGUGAGCAACCUGCCCAAAGCAGGGGGAUAACAUCCAGAAAUGGGUGCUAAUACCGCAUAAGACCACAAACCGGCAUCGGGAAGGGGUCAAAGGAGAAAUC